rnacentral:misc_RNA from 1 species
GAUGAAGAACGCAGCGAAAUGCGAUAAGUAAUGUGAAUUGCAGAAUUCAGUGAAUCAUAGAAUCUUUGAACGCACAUUGCGCCCCCCAGUAUUCUGGCGGGCAUGCCUGUUCGAGCGUCAUUUCAACCAUCAAGCCCUGCUUGUGUUGGGGUCCUGCGGCUGCCCGCAGGCCCUGAAAACCAGUGGCGGGCUCGCUAGUCACACCGAGCGCAGUAGCACAUCUCGCUCAGGGCGUGCGGCGGGCUCCAGCCGUUAAAGCACCCACCUUUCGCAAGGUUGACCUCGGAUCAGGUAGGAAUACCCGCUGAACUUAAGCAUAUCCAUGAGCGGAGGA